CUCAGAAUCAACGCUGGCGGCGUGCCUAACACAUGCAAGUCGCACGAGAAAGGGUAGCAAUACCUGAGUAAAGUGGCGCACGGGUGAGUAACACGUGAAUGAUCUACCUCCGAGUGGGGAAUAACUGAGAGAAAUCUUGGCUAAUACCGCAUAAUACCCACGGGUCAAAGCAGCAAUGCGCUUGGAGAGGAGUUCGCGGCCGAUUAGCUAGUUGGCGGGGUAAUGGCCCACCAAGGCGAUGAUCGGUAUCCGGCCUGAGAGGGCGCACGGACACACUGGAACUGAAACACGGUCCAGACUCCUACGGGAGGCAGCAGUGGGGAAUUUUGCGCAAUGGGGGAAACCCUGACGCAGCAACGCCGCGUGGAGGAUGAAGUCCUUCGGGACGUAAACUCCUUUCGAUCGGGACGAUAAUGACGGUACCGGAAGAAGAAGCCCCGGCUAACUUCGUGCCAGCAGCCGCGGUAAUACGAGGGGGGCGAGCGUUGUUCGGAAUUAUUGGGCGUAAAGGGUGCGUAGGCGGUUUGGUAAGUCUUAUGUGAAAUCUAUGGGCUCAACUCAUAGACUGCAUGAGAAACUGCCGGGCUUGAGUGUGGGAGAGGUGAGUGGAAUUUCCGGUGUAGCGGUGAAAUGCGUAGAUAUCGGAAGGAACACCUGUGGCGAAAGCGGCUCACUGGACCACAACUGACGCUGAUGCACGAAAGCUAGGGGAGCAAACAGGAUUAGAUACCCUGGUAGUCCUAGCCCUAAACGAUGAUUGCUUGGUUUGACGGGUACCCAAUCCCGCCGUGCCGCAGCUAACGCGUUAAGCAAUCCGCCUGGGGAGUACGGUCGCAAGAUUAAA
rnacentral:rRNA from 1 species